AUGUCCUUUUCCUCUGUUCCCAAUCAUUGGUCACAACUAAUGCUAUUAUUGUUGUCUUUUCCUUCAUCUCAGGCAAAGUAUGAUGUACAGAAUCAGUCCUUCCACAGGAGUAGUUGUGGGUCCCAACUGAAAGGACAGACAUUUCCUAGGUACCCUCACUGCUUGAUUCUCCCUCAGUUUUGUCCUCAGAGGAGGAAAAAAAGCCACCUCCAGUCUCCAGGGUGCCAGGGAAUAAUCAAACAGGCUCUGCACAUCUCUCCUUGUGGCUGAAAAAGCCACUCCAAGGGGAAAAGGUAAAAGCACACUGGGCAGCCCAAGUCAGGGGUUGUGCUGUCUGCAGCUAGCAACACCCAUAGCUUAAACCAUCCUGUUCCCUGGCACCAUGGAGCAAAGAGGAGAAGCAAAAAGCCAUCCAUCAGCAUGAGGUGUGGGGAUUUGCUCAGCACCAGUGAGAAGCUGGAAGACUGCCUUGGACAGGUAAACACACACCCUGUUGCUUGUGUGAGCUGCUGCUGUUAGAUGUUAGCACCCAGAAGUGUUUGGGAGGAGAUAUCUGACAAUUGAACCUCCCCCACACAUGCUUCUCCUCAGCUGAGCAAAAACCUCCCCCUUAUAACACAGGAUGGUGUUCGAUUCCCACCUUCCCUGUCAGAAAUCCCUCCUGGUUUUCCUUCCUGGAGUGUGCAUACUGUCCCUGAGCACCAUGGGGAGCACAGACAUUCCCUGGCUGGGUGCUGAGCCCCUGGCUGGAGAGGUGAUGUUCCUUGCAUGCCUUGUUGUGCUGGACACCAGCACGGAGCCCCUGCGCUGCCACACCAGCCACGCUGGCUAAUGGCUGUCACUGAGUUCCCAUUUCCAAAGACAACUCUGCAGGAUUUCUUUUUUUAUUUAACUCGACUGUGCAUUUUCAUGACUGUUGCUCUCAAGUGCGACUGUGCAUCAGGACAUUAAAGAAGAGCUCCUGAAAGUUUUGAUUUUCUACCAUGCAACCUUCUAACUCGUGUGAAAACUGCAUUGGAUUUGACCUUGGUUUGACCUCUAGAUUCUCUGCUCUUUUAAGUAUUGGAUUCAACCUCAAAUCCUGAGUGAAUCUCGCUUGCCUUAUAGGAAGACCACCGAAUGUAGUAAAUUUAAAUAAAAGAUAAAUGUCCACCAACCUUUGGGUGUCUCUGUAUUUGCUUUGUCUUGUCUGUUGUUGAUGUGUAUUAAUUUACA
rnacentral:lncRNA from 1 species